AGCGAACGCUGGCGGCAGGCUUAACACAUGCAAGUCGAGCGAGCAUCUUCGGGUGUCAGCGGCGGACGGGUGAGUAACGCGUGGGAACGUGCCUUCUGGUUCGGAAUAACUCAGGGAAACUUGAGCUAAUACCGGAUACGCCCUUUUGGGGAAAGGUUUACUGCCGGAAGAUCGGCUCGCGUCUGAUUAGCUAGUUGGUGGGGUAACGGCCUACCAAGGCGACGAUCAGUAGCUGGUCUGAGAGGAAGAUCAGCCACACUGGGACUGAGACACGGCCCAGACUCCUACGGGAGGCAGCAGUGGGGAAUAUUGGACAAUGGGGGCAACCCUGAUCCAGCCAUGCCGCGUGAGUGAUGAAGGCCUUAGGGUUGUAAAGCUCUUUUAUCCGGGACGAUAAUGACGGUACCGGAGGAAUAAGCCCCGGCUAACUUCGUGCCAGCCGCCGCCGUAA
rnacentral:rRNA from 1 species